rnacentral:rRNA from 1 species
AACGCGAAGAACCUUACCUACUCUUGACAUCCAGAGAACUUUCCAGAGAUGGAUUGGUGCCUUCGGGAACUCUGAGACAGGUGCUGCAUGGCUGUCGUCAGCUCGUGUUGUGAAAUGUUGGGUUAAGUCCCGCAACGAGCGCAACCCUUAUCCUUUGUUGCCAGCGGUCCGGCCGGGAACUCAAAGGAGACUGCCAGUGAUAAACUGGAGGAAGGUGGGGAUGACGUCAAGUCAUCAUGGCCCUUACGAGUAGGGCUACACACGUGCUACAAUGGCAUAUACAAAGAGAAGCGACCUCGCGAGAGCAAGCGGACCUCAUAAAGUAUGUCGUAGUCCGGAUUGGAGUCUGCAACUCGACUCCAUGAAGUCGGAAUCGCUAGUAAUCGUAGAUCAGAAUGCCACGGUGAAUACGUUCCCGGGUCUUGUACACACCG